UACGGAGGAUCCGAGCGUUAUCCGGAUUUAUUGGGUUUAAAGGGUGCGUAGGCGGAUUGAUAAGUUAGAGGUGAAAUCCCGAGGCUCAACUUCGGAAUUGCCUCUGAUACUGUUCGGCUAGAGAGUAGUUGCGGUAGGCGGAAUGUAUGGUGUAGCGGUGAAAUGCUUAGAGAUCAUACAGAACACCGAUUGCGAAGGCAGCUUACCAAACUAUAUCUGACGUUGAGGCACGAAAGCGUGGGUAUCAAACAGG
rnacentral:rRNA from 1 species